CCGUUUGUUCCAUAUCUUCUUCUGCUACAGAGGAAUGGUCUUAGCUUGAAAAAACAAACAGGGGUAAGGAAGCAACACAACUGCAAACGUAGGAGCCAUAUGUGUCUCAUCCUCGCACCGCUGGCUCCAGGUAAGUGCAUCUUCUACCUUCUGCUUCUUUUUUUUCUUGCUUCAAUUUCACAGUCGAUUUGGUGUUUAAUUUUUUUGAUAAUCCAUUUGAUUUCCGACUUCCUCUUUUGUGUUUUUUUUAUUUGAUGAUUUGUUGGUCAAGAAUCUACAAGGAAAGGUAGCGAUGUUUCCGUUUGUUCCAUUGUCGUCGUUUGGAUGUGCAACGAAGGUGGUGAGGCCAACGGCAAACCUGACGAAGUUGGUUGGAUGUUUAAUUUUUCGUGUUUCAUGAGCCCUAAUUUAUUUUAUUUUAUUUUUUUGUUUUUAAUUUUUCGCAGUCUUUGAUGUUUCCCUCUCCGAUCCAUUUUUCCCAUCAGAUAUAUCCCCAAAAUCAUCCGUAAUGUUCCCUCGCCACCACGUUCGACGAAACCUCCGUCUUGCUAGAAAGCCUGAUCGGCGGUGCUGCACCAAUCGAGGACACUGAUGGUCACCGUAUUUCUGUGUGUGCGCCGAUUCAGAUGCAAUUUUGCUUCGUGUCAACCUGUUUCCGCCUUUAAUUCUUUCGUUGUUAAUUCUCAUUUCAAAGAUUUGGUUCAGUCGUGUCUUAAAUUGUGGAUUAUUUCCUUAACCAUGCUUCUUUUUUACUUUCUCUUGAUGGUAAUCUCUCGUUGUUAGUUCUUGAUUUCACGUUUCAUGUUUUUUCUUAUGUCAUAGAAGACCAUGUUUUUGGCCUUUUGGGUGUAUCCCGAAAGGCAGAAAGAAGAAAAAGCCACAUGUUGAAGUCUGUAGUGGAAGUAGUGAAUUGAAGACAGAAGCGAGUAUAUUUGUGAUUAUAGCUAAUGUACGUAAUAUUAUUAUGAUUAUUCACUAUCUUUACAGCUUUUAAUUGAGUGAAACUGAAAAGAUUGUUGAAUAUGAUAAAUAUGAAACCAUGAGGGUACUAACGUAUUGUGGAUCUCUUCUAUAUUUGUUAUUUGUCACUACAUACUGAUAAGUAAGGUUACAUAAUAUUUCAUGCGAAUGAUGCCAUUUCACAAAACAAUAAUACAAUUUUUGUGAAAUUUGAAAAUCGUAAAGUUAACUAACAUAUUAUUUUGAAAUAUUUUAAAAAACAUGUUUAUCUUGCCAUACAUUAAAGAAAUUACCACUUUAAUGGAGAUUUAUAGCAUCAUUAAAGGGUCUAUCGGAAACUUCCCACCUUUUACCUCAGGUAAAGUUUGUUAAUUAGUAACUAUAAAUCAUCAUGAUUCGUCAGUUUGAUUUAAAUUACUUGAUUUAAUCCUGUAGGAAAUGGAAAAUGGAUUUGAUCGAGUUUAAUCAGAGUUAAAGCGUGGUUUACAUGAAUAGAUACUUCUAUCCUUUAACCAGCUUCCAAAUUGGGUAUGAGCUUUUCUUUUAUCAUAUCAAAUGCAUUUGAUUUAGUAAUGUUCAGAUUUGAAUUGUGAUUUAUGUUUGAUUAGUUAAUCAGAGGUGAGUUAUAUAUUUUUAUAGCUUUUGUGUUUGUUAAAGAUUUGUUUUAUUUGUAGCCGGACAGAAAACAUUUCAUAUGUAACAACCAAAAAAAUUCGUACAAUUGUAGCAUGGUACUUUUGAAAAAUAUACUCACUUACAGAAGUGUAAACUACUUUCUAAUUGAAUUACAUUGUUGAAUGUUGUGAGCUUGGGGAUAAAUGUAAGAACUAGUAAUAUACUUUCCAUAUAAUUGUUCUUGGGCGUAUUGGAUAUAUAGAGUUUUGUUUGACAGUUAUAUGCAUUUCUACGGACGAUUAUUGUCCCUUCUAACAAGCUACCACCUACGAUAAAGCAUGUUGUUUUGAUAUCAUUGUUUACAAAGAAAAAC
rnacentral:lncRNA from 1 species